rnacentral:lncRNA from 13 species
UUGGUCUGGGCCUGUUAUUGAAGAUCUCUGAGGUUUAUUUGAGUUCUGGAGAUUGGAAGUCCAAGUAUUUAUCACC